CAAUGGGGGAGUUACCCAACAGAUCUCAGUAAGACGCGAUCUCCGUAAGAGAUGGGAUCUGUGACGCGGCCUUUUAGGAUUCCUGGUUAAUUUAAGCCCAUUUUCCAACUGAUCUUUCCCUACACAAACGGGCAUGGGACUCUGAAGUAAAGGAAAUCCUGAUACUUUCAAAGGAAUACUUUUCUUAAGGAAUACAUUUCUUAGAAUAAUGAAAGUAACACUGGAAUCUGUAGACAGCUCAGGGUUAAUGGUGGUUGCAAGGGAAUUACUAUGAGAUUUCUAAGUUAUUAACCAUGUCUUCGAGCCGCCCACUAAAUCAUGAAGCUCAUUUAAGUAUUUUCUCCAAGUACUCCAGACAUAAUCCAAGUUUUUGCAGGAGUUCACAGCGAGGUCACUGCUAUCGCUCCUCUCCCACUAGCCCAACAGUCAUCUCACAUCCAAGAGGCUUGGAGCUGGGUUCAACACAUUGGUCUAUGGGAAACUGUGCUCGCCGCCAAUUGCAAUACUUCCCGGCGUAUUUCUGUCAGAGCUCAAGUCUUUUCAAAACAACACAAUCACUGAACUCAUUGGAGCCCCAUUUGAAUCAAUUACCUAUGUGUCAACAAAACCAAAUUCUAAUCAUUCGUAGCAGGGCCAGUGGAUUGUUGUCAUAUGUCUAAGCAGCAGAAAAUUAGAUGGAUUAAACAAUUAAAAUUUGCAUUUAUUUAA